ACUUUUUGGUUUCUCUUCAUAGUGAAUAAGUCUUUUGCCUUUUACUAAAGAUUUCUGUGGGGAGAAACAGUUAUGAGUUUGUCACUAAAUUUCUUUAAUGUCCUGCUUAAGACAGGGUU